UACGUAGGGGGCAAGCGUUAUCCGGAUUUACUGGGUGUAAAGGGAGCGUAGACGGCAUAGCAAGUCUGAAGUGAAAGCCCGUGGCUCAACCGCGGAACUGCUUUGGAAACCGUUAAGCUGGAGUACUGGAGAGGCAAGCGGAAUUCCUAGUGUAGCGGUGAAAUGCGUAGAUAUUAGGAGGAACACCAGUGGCGAAGGCGGCUUGCUGGACAGAGACUGACGUUGAGGCUCGAAAGCGUGGGGAGCAAACAGG
rnacentral:rRNA from 1 species